rnacentral:lncRNA from 1 species
UGGAAAGUGGUGCCUCUUCGAAAUCCGGAGAAUGGUGCCACUUCGAUUUUUGAAUCAACGGCCCUGUUGCCCUUUAUUUUAUAAGGGCACCAAUUGUGCAAGGAGUACAUUCAGAGAGUUAUUGCUUGUCAGAAUUUUUCCCUUACUUCAGAGAUUUAUUGCACCUUAUUUCUCCUUCAUCAUUUCUGAGAAUGUCUGGCCC